GCUGGGCAUGGUGGUGCAUGCCUGUAAUCCCGGCUACUUGGGAGGCUGAGGCAGGAGAAGUGCUUGAACCUGGGAGGCAUAGGUUGCAGUGAGAUGAGACUGCACCAUUGCACUCUGUUAUCCAGGCUGGAGAGUGCAGUGGUGCAAUCUCAGCUCACUGCAGCCUCCGCCUCCUGGGAUCAAGCAAUUCUCCUGCUUCAG
ensembl:misc_RNA Metazoa_SRP Metazoan signal recognition particle RNA